rnacentral:rRNA from 1 species
AUGUUUUUCAGGAAGCAGGUGGCACAGGCUUGCAUGAUGGAGGCUGCACAGUAUGGACCUUGGUCAGAUCUUCCACCCGAACUCCUGGGCCUUGUCCUCAAGCGCCUCCCUUCCCUAGCUGACUGUGUUCGUCUGAGGGCAGUCUGUCACCCAUGGCACUCUAACAGUCUGCUGCAACCGCUUCCUCUUCCAUUCCCAUGGAUCGCCCUCCCUGAUGGAACAUUCCUCAGCAUCCCAGGAGGCGAGGUUCACCGCAUGCCUGUACCAGAUGGUGCUAGUUGCCGUGGCUCCAUCGAUAACUGGUUAUUUCUCAUGAGCAGUGAUGAUGCAUGCACAUUGAUGAACCCUUUCUCCAAGACCAUGUUGGAGCUUCCUAAUCUGGUCACAGUUUGGCAGCGUGAGGUACGCUACGAAUCUGAUCCUAAACAACUUGUGUACAAGUUGGCAGUGCCCUCACCCCUCGACCUAUCACCUGAUUCCCUUGUUGCGGCAUUGAUUAUGGAUGAUGGUAAUAUUGAUAUUGGUGCACUUUGCAUUAGCCAGCCAUCGACUGCCACUUAUUCGUUACUAGGCAAAUGGCCGCCAUUAUACCCCGCAUUUGAUGUUGCGUUCGUUGAUGGGAAGUUGUAUGUGGUGUCCGUCUAUGGCAAGCUCUUCAUCGUUGAGUUUUGCAAGAACCUUGGUAGUAAUCAAAAUAUCAAAUGCGUAAUUGAGUCUUUGCGUCAUCAGGAAGAACCAGAAUGCAUUCCUAUAGGGGUGCUGUGUACAAACAGGUCGUAUCUAGUUGAAUGUGGUGGUAGGCUCUUGAUGGUUCAACGAUUUAUUCAUUUACUGGUCCCAGGCCCUCCAACUGGUGCCAGUGGCUAUGAAAAAACUCAGACUGCUGGGUUUGUUGUCCACGAGGCCGACUUGCACUCCGAGCCUUGCCGAUGGAGAAGGAUCAGUGAGUUAGGUGGACAUGCUCUCUUUGUUGGCGAGCAUGGCUCCAAGUCUCUGCCUCAUAGAGAAUGCAGCGGAUCCCAGGAGGACUGUAUCUACUUCAUUUUGGACUAUCACCCUCUAAGGAUUUCUCCAAAUCCAUUCAACGACUGUGGUGUGUACAACAUGAGAAAUGGGAGGAUCAGACCAUUGAUGUCUCAGACUGCAGCACAUGCACAUUGUGCCGGCCAGUGGCGCCCGAGAUGGUUUUUCCCUCCAGGAGCUGUGUGA